AACGUAGGAGACAAACGUUAUCCGGAGUUACUGGGCGUAAAGGGCGUGUAGGUGGUUUCGUAAGUCUGGCGUGAAAUAUCUCGGCUUAACCGAGGCAGGUCGUCGGAUACUGCGGGACUAGAGGACGGUAGAGGCGUGUGGAAUUCCGGGUGUAGUGGUGAAAUGCGUAGAGAUCCGGAGGAACACCAGUGGCGAAGGCGGCCUGCUGGGCAGUUGCUGACACUGAGGCGCGACAGCGUGGGGAGCAAACAGG
rnacentral:rRNA from 1 species